UGUAUUAUUUGUGCUUUUUAAGAAUAUUUUUUUAAUUCGGAUACUUUUAUAAUAGCUUUAAUAGUAUUAUUAACAUAGUGCAUAAAAUGGUGUCCUGUUUUUGACGCAGUUGGAGUAGCAGAAACAAAUGUAGAUAAAAAAAUCUGCAGGAAUAACGUUUCAAUUAUGACAGAAGCUCGAAACAAAUGACUGUGAAUUAGUGUGAAUGAAAAGCCCUAUUAAAAGCUUUCCAGAAGAUCCUGCGAAGAAGACAUGAAGUAUAGAUCAGAUUUGUUAAUAGAGGAGUAUGUUCAAAACACUUUUUAGAAAAAGAUAUUGACAGAACUUCACUUUCAUCUGUUCGUUUGAGAGACUGUGCUGUUCCAAUAGCUUAUGUCACACAGGUAUAUGCAUAACCUAAUUAAUAAUAUAGUCCGUACAAUAUAGAUACUGUUGUAAUUCAUUAUCUACAUCGGAGAUCUAAGUUGACAUUGUUGCCCAACUACAAAAAAUUUUUGAAUUCAUUUUAAGUCAAAUAUAUCACAUAAUUAUUGUGAAGUAGAUUAUACAACAAAACAUAUUAAUAUUCAAUGUAAAUAAAUAAAAACAUCAGAAAUAGAAAACAAGAAUUAAGGUAUAAUCUUAUGUUACAGUUAUUAAGGUACCAAGGGUAUUAUAAGGAUAAUAACGCUUGAGGUCAAUGGUGUUUUUAACAAGGGCCUUCGUCCUGAGGGAUAUACGUUGACCGAAAGCGUUAUUAUUAUAAUACCUGUGGUGCCUUCAACGUUUAAUGUCCGACUAAAUUAUUCUUUAUAUGCGAAAAAUUUGAAUGAAUUUUGAAUUAAUUAGUUUUUAAAUAAGUACAUUUACCAGUAACAGUAGUAACGUAAUUGUGGUAACCAUAGUUUUACUUAGGUUGAUAUUUGUCAACUUGACAGUAUCUAAGUCGUUAUUUAAAUUUAAUGCCCAAGGGCGUUAUAUCGUACUUAACAGACUUCGAAAUGUCAUUAUUUGUCAAAUAAUGUACCAGUAGGACAUUAAAGUAAAUAAUAAAAACAAUAAAUAUAAUGAAUACUAAAUACUUAUUUGUUUGUGAAAAAUCUAUUUCUUUGUGGCUUUUUUGUAAUUAACUAUUCUAAUGGGGAAAUAAGCCACAAUUUACUUGAAAAAAUAAUUUUAUUAAGGUUUCUACUUCCACAUCGGAUGUCGUUGUCAAAAUACAAAAUGUUCAUUAUUAUUAUUUUAUUUAUUAAAUAUUAUUUAUUAUUUAUUUAAAUAUUAUUUAAUAUUUAUUUUUUUAUUAUUAUUAUUUAUGCGUAUUAUUACCUGUAAAUAAUAUUUCUUCUGAUUGUUAAUUGUAAAGGAUAGAAAAAUUACCUUUUAAUUUAUUUUCUUUUAGAAUCAGCUGAGAGAAGUGGUCUACAAAAAACCAGAAAGGAAACGGAAUAUGUGGCUACGAAAAGCAAAAGAAAGGUUUACAAAGCAAAUGUGACACAUUUUUUUAUAAUAUUUAGGAAUGUCAGUAAAUUACAUUAAAAAAUGUAUGUAAAGAUUUUUUGCAAUAAAAAUGUUUAUAUUUA